GAUGAAGAACGUAGCAAAAUGCGAUAAGUAGUGUGAAUUGCAGAAUUCAGUGAAUCAUCGAAUCUUUGAACGCACAUUGCGCCCCAUGGUAUUCCGUGGGGCAUGCCUGUUCGAGCGUCAUUUACCCCCUCAAGCUCCGCUUGGUGUUGGGCGUCUGUCCCGCUUCGCGCGCGGACUCGCCCCAAAGGUAUUGGCAGCGGUCGUGCCAGCUUCUCGCGCAGCACAUUGCGCUUCUCGAGGCACCGGUGGGCCCGCGUCCAUCAAGCUCACCCCCCCAGUUUGACCUCGGAUCAGGUAGGGAUACCCGCUGAACUUAAGCAUAUCAAUAAGCGGAGGA
rnacentral:misc_RNA from 1 species